UGCGGUAUUUGAUGUCAGUAGGGACAAAGUUCCAGAAAUGGAGUUACAGCUCAGAUGAGAAACACAAGUCACCGAUGAAUUAACAAGCAACACAUUGUCACAUCCAGCUAUUGAAGAGUGGUUAACUCAGCUUCAGCUCUGAAGACUCUUUGCACUCCACCCCGCCCCCAAUUGCUUUCCAAAGAGAAACAAAAAAUAAGAUUGAGUCCCAGGAACCAGUGACAUUUGAGGAUGUGGCUGUGGACUUCACCCAGGAAGAGUGGCAGCAGUUGAAUCCUGCUCAGAAGACCCUGCAUAGGGAUGUGAUGCUGGAGACCUAUAGUCAUCUGGUCUCUGUGGGGUGUUCAGGUAUAAAACCAGAUGUAAUCUUUAAGGUGGAACACAGAAAGGACCCAUGGAUCAAAGACAGUGAGUUGUCAAGGUGGGUCUACCCAGGCAAGUGAGAAUUGGAUAGAUGGUCAAGAGGGGAUCUUCUUCUUCCUUGACAUCAGUUACCUUCUUUCUUCCUUAAAAUGUAUCAGGCCUCCUUUAUAAUAUUCAUUCUACAACAGCCACCUUCCUAGUACCUCUGUUCAUGGCCAACUGUGUGUGUGUGUGUGUGUGU